rnacentral:rRNA from 1 species
GGGGGCCCGCAAGCGGUGGAGCAUGUGGUUCAAUUCGACGCAACGCGAAAAACCUUACCUGGGCUCGAAGCGCAGUGGAAUCCGGAUGAAAGUUCGGCGCCCGCAAGGGCCGCUGCGGAGGUGCUGCAUGGCUGUCGUCAGCUCGUGUCGUGAGAUGUUGGGUUAAGUCCCGCAACGAGCGCAACCCUUAUCCUUAGUUGCCAUCCCGCAAGGGGGCACUCGAAGGAAACUGUCGGUCAAAAGCCGAAGGAAGGUGGGGAUGACGUCAAGUCCUCAUGGCCUUUAUGUCCAGGGCUACACACGUGCUACAAUGGGCGGUACAAAGCGUUGCAAACCCGCGAGGGGGAGCCAAUCGCAAAAAACCGCUCUCAGUUCGGAUUGCAGUCUGCAACUCGACUGCAUGAAGCUGGAAUCGCUAGUAAUCGCGGAUCAGAACGCCGCGGUGAAUACGUUCCCGGGCCUUGUACACACC